GUCUCAGUUCGGAUCGGAGUCUGCAACCCGACUCCGUGAAGCUGGAUUCGCUAGUAAUCGCGCAUCAGCCAUGGCGCGGUGAAUACGUUCCCGGGCCUUGUACACACCGCCCGUCAAGCCAUGGGAGCCGGGAGUGCCUGAAGGCCGUGACCGCAAAGAGCGGCCUAAGGUAAAACUGGUGACUGGGGCUAAGUCGUAACAAGGUAUC
rnacentral:rRNA from 1 species